AGUGAACGCUGGCGGUAGGCCUAACACAUGCAAGUCGAACGGCAGCACAGUAAGAGCUUGCUCUUACGGGUGGCGAGUGGCGGACGGGUGAGGAAUACAUCGGAAUCUACUUUUUCGUGGGGGAUAACGUAGGGAAACUUGCGCUAAUACCGCAUACGACCUACGGGUGAAAGCAGGGGAUCUUCGGACCUUGCGCGAUUGAAUGAGCCGAUGUCGGAUUAGCUAGUUGGCGGGGUAAAGGCCCACCAAGGCGACGAUCCGUAGCUGGUCUGAGAGGAUGAUCAGCCACACUGGAACUGAGACACGGUCCAGACUCCUACGGGAGGCAGCAGUGGGGAAUAUUGGACAAUGGGCGCAAGCCUGAUCCAGCCAUGCCGCGUGGGUGAAGAAGGCCUUCGGGUUGUAAAGCCCUUUUGUUGGGAAAGAAAAGCAGCAGGUUAAUACCCCGCUGUUCUGACGGUACCCAAAGAAUAAGCACCGGCUAACUUCGUG
rnacentral:rRNA from 1 species